UACGUAGGGGGCGAGCGUUGUCCGGAUUUAUUGGGCGUAAAGAGCUCGUAGGCGGUUUGGUAAGUCGGGUGUGAAAUCUCCACGCUCAACGUGGAGGGGCCACUCGAUACUGCCAUGACUCGAGUCCGGUAGAGGAGUGUGGAAUUCCUGGUGUAGCAGUGAAAUGCGUAGAUAUCAGGAGGAAUACCGAUGGCGAAGGCAGGUCUCUGGGCUGACACUGACGCUCAUGCACGAAAGCGUGGGGAGCAAACAGG
rnacentral:rRNA from 1 species